UGAGGAAUAUUGCGCAAUGGGCGCAAGCCUGAUCCAGCCAUGCCGCGUGCAGGAUGAAGGCCUUCGGGUUGUAAACUGCUUUUGUACGGAACGAAAAGACUCCUUCUAAUAAAGGGGGUCCAUGACGGUACCGUAAGAAUAAGCACCGGCUAACUACGUGCCAGCAGCCGCGGUAAUACGUAGGGUGCGAGCGUUAAUCGGAAUUACUGGGCGUAAAGCGUGCGCAGGCGGUUAUAUAAGACAGAUGUGAAAUCCCCGGGCUCAACCUGGGAACUGCAUUUGUGACUGUAUAGCUAGAGUACGGCAGAGGGGGAUGGAAUUCCGCGUGUAGCAGUGAAAUGCGUAGAUAUGCGGAGGAACACCGAUGGCGAAGGCAAUCCCCUGGGCCUGUACUGACGCUCAUGCACGAAAGCGUGGGGAGCAAACA
rnacentral:rRNA from 1 species